CUGGGAUUGGACUAGAUAAUUGCAUUCUAUAACUAUAAAACAGACACAGAAAUUGGAGUCUGAUUCAUAUUCUUCAGAGUGAUUAUUGAUACUCCCAUUACGUUAAUAGACACCCUAAUUUAAUUUGUAAACAGAGGUACACUGUUUUCAUUUUGGCAAAUAAGUAAAGCCUAAUGAACUACUGAAUAAGUAAAGUGAAAAUCUCUGUUGCCAAAUUGUAUCUAUUUCCCUUCAUUCUAUCACAGCUGCAUUCACUCUUAGGGCUGUAAAAUGUUCCUUAUAAAUAACAAUCUAUGGAUCCCCUUCUGGGAUCUCCUUUAAAAUCUAAUCAUUCUAAGUUAAUUAGGGGUAAGCCCUAGGGUGGAAUUGGUACCACCAACACUGACCAACCCUUACUAGUAAUAUCGUUUGGAUAAUAAGGGUUUCCUAUUAAUUUUUCAAUAUAUAAAGUUGUUUUGGCACUGCUGCGCAGGUGCACUUAAUGUGUGGUGGCCAUUUUCAUUACGCCAUAUUUUUGGGGGUAGAGUUUCGGUGCCAUUUCUGAGCCUUGCCAGACUUUGAAUAUGUGUAAAAUGGCUGGUGGGGAAGGCAACCUCUUCCCUCUUCAUGGUUUCCCCUUCAAACGCCUCUUGCUCCAUCCUCCUUAAGAUAGACAAUGUGUUGGCAGUCCGUUACAUAAAUCACCUGGAGUAAUGACACUAGCAGUGUACAUAGUAUAUUGAUCGUGGGAGAACACAUUCCUGGUCUGAUCAAUUUGACAGCAGAUUGGAACUCGAGUUACCGCAAGGAUUCCAGGGAUUGUCAUUUACAUUGAUCUCUGUUGUAGAAACUUGGCCAUCUUUGGGAUGCUUUGGAUAUUGAUCACUUUGCUUCCCGCUGAAAAUUCCAUCUUGAGGGUCCUUCUUUAUCUCUUUCUAUGGGGUGGGAUGCUGGUGCUGAAAACUCCCCUCUGGUGGUCUCAACCAUGUUACACUCACCUUCUAGAGCUGUUGAUAGAUUUUCCUUGGCUAUUGCCG